rnacentral:rRNA from 1 species
AUUGAACGCUGGCGGCAUGCCUUACACAUGCAAGUCGAACGGUAACAGGUUAAGCUGACGAGUGGCGAACGGGUGAGUAAUGUAUCGGAACGUGCCCAGUCGUGGGGGAUAACUGCUCGAAAGAGCAGCUAAUACCGCAUACGACCUGCGGGUGAAAGCGGGGGAGCGCAAGACCUCGCGCGAUUGGAGCGGCCGAUAUCAGAUUAGGUAGUUGGUGAGGUAAAGGCUAACAAAGCCGACGAUCUGUAGCUGGUCUGAGAGGACGACCGGCCACACGGGGACUGAGACACGGCCGCGACUCCUACGGGGGGCAGCAGUGGGGAAUUUUGGACAAUGGGCGCAAGCCUGAUCCAGCCAUGCCGCGUGCGGGAAGAAGGCCUUCGGGUUGUAAACCGCUUUUGUCAGGGAAGAAAAGGUUCUGGCUAAUACCUGGGACUCAUGACGGUACCUGAAGAAUAAGCACCGGCUAACUACGUGCCAGCCGCCGCAGUAACAC